rnacentral:pre_miRNA from 1 species
GCUGGCCACGUGCAUUCUUGGGUAAUUAACACACAUUAUAAAUACAUUGUUAUUGCUUGAGAAUACACGUAGUUGAC